UUCAAUCAGGCAACACAAGCGGGGGCAUAGACAGUGGGCCUCUAGGGCCCAGCUGGCAGAUUGGGGCGGAAGUUAAGGUACCGGGCAAGCGGGCGGAGAGCGAGGCGUGGCGAAGGGUGGGCAGUGGGCUGGCUGGAGGCGGACGCUCUGCGAAGUUGCUAAGGCAACCUGCGUGCCAAAAAGCUCCACUGAGGCUCCGGAAGCAGCCUGCUCUUCUGUGGUCAGAUCUCCACACAAAGAGAGUGCUGAUUCUGACUGUGGCUCCAACAUUCUUGUGACAUUCGUUGGCUUCACCUUUAAAAAUCAACAUGGAUGAACCUGGAGGAUCUUUUGCUAAGUGAAAUAAGCCUGACACAGAAAGAAAGAAACUGCAUGAUUGCAUUUACAUAUGCAAUCUGAAGAAGUUGAAUACACAGAAGCAGAGAAUAGAAUGUGGUCACCACAGAUGGGUGCAAGACGGCCACGGACCAAAGAAUAUGGGAAGCAUCCAGAAGUUGGAAGAGGGAAGAUAAAGGAUUGUCCUCUAAACCUACAGAAGGAACAGCCCUGUCAUCACCUUGAUUUUACCCUAGGGAGAACCAUUUUGGACUUCUGACUUCUAGAACUGUAAGAUAAAAAAUGUGUGUAAUUUUAGCUCACCGAGUUUGUGGUAAUUUGUUACAGCAGCAAUAGGAAACUAAUAUAAUGACUCCUCUAGCUUUCUGGUCAUUUAAUCAUACACAAGCUUUUCAUUGUCUACUUUCAUUCGUUUUUGUGUGUGUGUGUUUGAGGAAGAUUACCCCUGAGCUAAUAUCUAUUCCCAA